rnacentral:rRNA from 1 species
GCCAGCAGCCACAUCACCCUGCAGCUCUCAACUGGCUACCCACUGAAGCUCAGCAGGGUUGAGCCAGGAGACCCUCCUGGGAGACCUCCUGGGAAGCUAUGGUUGCUGCUGGAA